GGUGUUGGUGUGUGAAGUGAGACAGAGUUCACUGGUGUUGGUCUGUGAAGAGAGAGAGUUCACUGGUGUUGGUGUGUGAAGAGAGAGAGUUCACUGGUGUUGGUGUGUGAAGAGAGAGAGUUCACUGGUGUUGGUGUGUGAAGGGAGACAGAGUUCACUGGUGUUGGUGUGUGAAGAGAGAGAGUUCACUGGUGUUGGUGUGUGAAGGGAGACAGAGUUCACUGGUGUUGGUGUGUGAAGAGAGAGAGUUCACUGGUGUUGGUGUGUGAAUGGAGACAGAGUUCACUGGUGUUGGUGUGUGAAGCGAGAGAGCUCACUGGUGUUGGUGUGUGAAGGGAGACAGAGUUCACUGGUGUUGGUGUGUGAAGAGAGACAGAGUUCACUGGUGUUGGUCUGUGAAGAGAGAGAGAGUUCACUGGUGUUGGUGUGUGAAGGGAGACAGAGUUCACUGGUGUUGGUGUGUGACGACAGAGAGUUCACUGGUGUUGGUGUGUCAAGGGAGACAGAGUUCACUGGUGUUGGUGUGUGAAGAGAGCGAGUUCACUGGUGUUGGUGUGUGAAGAGAGAGAGUUCACUGGUGUUGGUGUGUGAAGAGAGACAGAGUUCACUGGUGUUGGUGUGUGAAGAGAGAGAGAGUUCACUGGUGUUGGUGUGUGAAGAGAGAGAGUUCACUGGUGUUGUUGUGUGAAGAGAGAGACUUCACUGGUGUUGGUGUGUGAAGAGAGAGAGAGUUCACUGGUGUUGGUGUGUGAAGAGAGAGAGUUCACUGGUGUUGUUGUGUGAAGAGAGACAGUUCACUGGUGUUGGUGUGUGAAGGGAGACAGAGUUCACUGGUGUUGGUGUGUGAAGAGAGCGAGUUCACUGGUGUUGGUGUGUGAAGAGAGAGAGUUCACUGGUGUUGGUGUGUGAAGAGAGACAGAGUUCACUGGUGUUGGUGUGUGAAGAGAGAGAGAGUUCACUGGUGUUGGUGUGUGAAGAGAGAGAGUUCACUGGUGUUGUUGUGUGAAGAGAGAGACUUCACUGGUGUUGGUGUGUGAAGAGAGAGAGAGUUCACUGGUGUUGGUGUGUGAAGAGAGAGAGUUCACUGGUGUUGUUGUGUGAAGAGAGACAGUUCACUGGUGUUGGUGUGUGAAGGGAGACAGACUUCACUGGUGUUGGUGUGUGAAGAGAGAGAGUUCACUGGUGUUGGUGUGUGAAGAGAGACAGUUCACUGGUGUUGGUGUGUGAAGGGAGACAGACUUCACUCGUGUUGGUGUGUGAAGAGAGAGAGAGUUCACUGGUGUUGGUGUGUGAAGAGAGAGAGAGUUCACUGGUGUUGGUGUGUGAAGAGAGAGAGUUCACUGGUGUUGGUGUGUGAAGAGAGAGAGUUCACUGGUGUUGGUGUGUGAAGAGAGAGAGUUCACUGGUGUUGGUGUGUGAAGUGAGACAGAGUUCACUGGUGUUGGUCUGUGAAGAGAGAGAGAGUUCACUGGUGUUGGUGUGUGAAGGGAGAGAGUUCACUGGUGUUGUUGUGUGAAGAGAGAGAGUUCACUGGUGUUGGUGUGUGAAGAGAGAGAGAGUUCACUGGUGUUGGUGUGUGAAGAGAGAGAGUUCACUGGUGUUGUUGUGUGAAGAGAGACAGUUCACUGGUGUUGGUGUGUGAAGGGAGACAGACUUCACUGGUGUUGGUGUGUGAAGAGAGAGAGUUCACUGGUGUUGGUCUGUGAAGAGAGAGAGAGUUCACUGGUGUUGGUGUGUGAAGAGAGAGAGUUCACUGGUGUUGGUGUGUGAAGAGAGAGAGUUCACUGGUGUUGGUCUGUGAAGAGAGAGAGUUCACUGGUGUUGGUGUGUGAAGAGAGAGAGAGUUCACUGGUGUUGGUGUGUGAAGAGAGAGAGUUCACUAGUGUUGGUGUGUGAAGAGAGAGAGUUCACUGGUGUUGGUGUGUGAAGAGAGAGAGUUCACUGGUGUUGGUGUGUGAAGGGAGAGAGAGUUCACUGGUGUUGGUGUGUGAAGCGAGAUAGUUCACUAGUGUUGGUGUUUGAAGAGAGAGAGUUCACUGGUGUUGGUGUGUGAAGAGAGAGAGUUCACUGGUGUUGGUGUGUGAAGGGAGACAGAGUUCACUGGUGUUGGUGUGUGAAGAGAGAGAGUUCACUGGUGUUGGUGUGUGAAGGGAGACAGAGUUCACUGGUGUUGGUGUGUGAAGAGAGAGAGUUCACUGGUGUUGGAAUGUGAAGGGAGACAGAGUUCACUGGUGUUGGUGUUUGAAGAGAGAGAGUUCACUGGUGUUGGUGUGUGAAGAGAGAGAGUUCACUGGUGUUGGUGUGUGAAGUGAGACAGAGUUCACUGGUGUUGGUCUGUGAAGAGAGAGAGAGUUCACUGGUGUUGGUGUGUGAAGAGACAGAGUUCACUGGUGUUGGUGUGUGAAGUGAGAGAGUUCACUGGUGUUGGUGUGUGAAGGGAGAGAGAGUUCACUGGUGUUGGUGUGUGAAGGGAGAGAGAGUUCACUGGUGUUGGUGUGUGAAGCGAGAUAGUUCACUAGUGUUGGUGUGUGAAGAGAGAGAGUUCACUGGUGUUGGUGUGUGAAGGGAGACAGAGUUCACUGGUGUUGGUGUGUGAAGAGAGAGAGAGUUCACUGGUGUUGGUGUGUGAAGAGAGACAGAGUUCACUGGUGUUGGUGUGUGAAGAGAGAGAGUUCACUGGUGUUGGUGUGUGAAGAGAGAGAGUUCACUGGUGUUGGUCUGUGAAGAGAGAGAGUUCACUGGUGUUGGUGUGUGAAGAGAGAGAGAGUUCACUGGUGUUGGUGUGUGAAGAGAGAGAGUUCACUAGUGUUGGUGUGUGAAGAGAGAGAGUUGACUGGUGUUGGUGUGUGAAGAGAGAGAGUUCACUGGUGUUGGUGUGUGAA
rnacentral:lncRNA from 1 species